CAGGACAUAUCCUGGACACAGCCAGAAGAGAACAAGUCUGUUCCAACUGCUGAUCAGCAUGAGCCAAACAAAAAGGUAUGGCAGGACAUAUCCUGGACACAACCAGAAGAGAACAUGUCUUUUCCAACUUCUGACCAGCAAGAGCCAAACGAAAAGGCAGGCCCAUUAACAGAUGGCGAUGAUCCUGUGUAUCCCGGCGCACCUCUGACAAAAGGACAAAGUUUACUGUUGCUAAUGUCCUUUAUACUAAGGCACAAUCUUAC